rnacentral:rRNA from 1 species
AUGGGGAGAUUCAUCGUCAGCGACGUUGGCUUCCGUGCGGAUCGCGAUGGCCGGGACCUCGGUUCCGCGUCACGCGUUCGCUGCGGUAUGUCCGACGUUGUCGGCGUGCACUUCUCCCUAGUAGAACGUCGCGACCCGUUGGGUGCCGGCCUACGGCCCGGUUGGUCGUCUGUUGCGUCGCGUUCACGCGUGCACGCGGCAGACCACCGGUCGCCCGGCCGGCUGCCCGGCGGUAUAGAUCGCUAUAAACUGGUAUUGGGCCGCAUUAAGUGCGUUCUGGCUCGUCGGCAGGCUCGUCUCGCUCGGAUUUACGGACCUAGUGCCGUUGCCGGGCGCUUGGCGUGGCCGUUAGUCGACGAUGUCCUCGGACUGGCUCUUACAUUCGAACGGAUUUACCGGUCGGCGACGCUACUGCUUUGGGUACUUUCAGGACCCGUCUUGAAACACGGACCAAGGAGUCUAACAUGUGCGCGAGUCAUUGGGACUUGUUAAGCCUAAAGGCGCAAUGAAAGUGAAGGUCGGCCCUAGCGUCGACCGAGGGAGGAUGGCUCGCGUCACGAUGCGAGCCCGCACUCCCGGGGCGUCUCGUGCUCAUUGCGAGCAGAGGCGCACCCAGAGCGUACACGUUGGGACCCGAAAGAUGGUGAACUAUGCCUGGUCAGGACGAAGUCAGGGGAAACCCUGAUGGAGGUCCGUAGCGAUUCUGACGUGCAAAUCGAUCGUCGGAACUGGGUAUAGGGGCGAAAGACUAAUCGAACCAUCUAGUAGCUGGUUCCCUCCGAAG